rnacentral:tRNA from 2 species
CAGGCUGUAGCUAAAAUAGUAAAGCGUCUCCCUUACACCGAGAAGCCGUCCGUGCAAAUCUGACCAGCCUGA